AUGGACUCUUCCCCAGGGUUCAUUACUGUGAUACUCCUCGUACUCACAAGGACCCAUGGAAACUCAGUGACACAGACGGAAGGUCAAGUGACCCUCUCAGAAGAGGACUUUCUUACUAUACACUGCAACUAUUCAGCCUCAGGAUACCCAGCCCUGUUCUGGUACGUGCAGUAUUCUGGAGAAGGUCCACAGCUCCUCUUCAGAGCCUCGAAGGACAAGGAGAAGGGAAGCAGCAGAGGUUUUGAAGCUACUUAUGAUAGAAGAUCCAGCUCCUUCCACUUGCAGAAAGCCUCGGUCCAGGAGUCAGACUCGGCUGUGUACUACUGUGUUCUGGGUGACACAGUAGUGGAAACCACAGGGAGAGCUGAACACAAACUCAGUACCAGGGGCCUCAAUACUGAGUUCCUGCCUCUGAGAUUGCUUUGGUUCCUCUGUGUUAUACAGAGAACAAGUGAGAUACCCAGUCCAACUGAUACAUUCACCACAUACCUCCUUAACUUAAGGCUCAGGGAACAACAAGAAAGAGAAAAUGGGAAGAGUGAAAGAGACAGAGGACCAGGAAAGUUGCUGUGA